CCCCUAGAUGUUCUGGGCCGCACGCGCGCUACACUGAACAGUUCAACAAGUCUUAACCUUGGCCGAUAGGUCUGGGUAAUCUUUGAACGCUGUUCGUGAUUGGGAUAGACCUUUGCAAUUAUGGGUCUUCAACGAGGAAUUCCUAGUAAACGCAAGUCAUCAGCUUGCAUUGAUUACGUCCCUGCCCUUUGUACACACCGUCCGUCGCUCCUACCGAUUGAGUGAUCCGGUGAAUAAUUCGGACUGCGGCAUUGACCGGUUCCCGAUCGUUGCUGCGGAAAGUUUAGUGAACCUUAUCACUUAGAGGAAGGAGAAGUCGUANCA
rnacentral:rRNA from 1 species